rnacentral:rRNA from 1 species
UGGGGAAUAUUGCACAAUGGGCGGAAGCCUGAUGCAGCGACGCCGCGUGGGGGAUGAAGGCCUUCGGGUUGUAAACUCCUUUCGACAGGGACGAAGCUUUUGUGACGGUACCUGUAUAAGAAGCACCGGCUAACUACGUGCCAGCAGCCGCGGUAAUACGUAGGGUGCGAGCGUUGUCCGGAAUUACUGGGCGUAAAGAGCUCGUAGGUGGUUUGUCGCGUCGUCUGUGAAAUUCCGGGGCUUAACUCCGGGCGUGCAAGCGAUACGGGCUGACUUGAGUGCUGUAGGGGAGACUGGAAUUCCUGGUGUAGCGGUGAAAUGCGCAGAUAUCAGUAGGAAACCCGAUGGCGAAGACAGGUCUCUUGGCAAUAACUAACGCUAAGUAGCGAAAACAUGUGUAUCGGACAGG